rnacentral:rRNA from 1 species
GGAGGGUSCAAGCGUUAAUCGGAAUUAUUGGGCGUAAAGGGUGCGUAGGUUGUUUGAUAAGUUAACAUUGAAAGACCUGAGCUCAACUUGGGGAUGGUGUUAAGACUGUUGAACUUGAGUAAGGGAGAGGGUAGUGGAAUUUCCGGUGUAGCGGUGAAAUGCGUAGAGAUCGGAAGGAACACCGGUGGCGAAGGCGACUACCUGGCCUAUUACUGACACUGAGGCACGAAAGCGUGGGUAGCAAACAGGAUUAGAUACCCUGGUAGUCCACSCKGUAAACSAUGUCAACUAGCUGUUAUUCAUAUAGAGAUGAGUAGUAGCGCAGCAAACGCGAUAAGUUGACCGCCUGGGGAGUACGGUCGCAAGAUUA